GACGAACGCUGGCGGCGUGCUUAACACAUGCAAGUCGAACGGAAAGGCCCUGCUUUUGUGGGGUGCUCGAGUGGCGAACGGGUGAGUAACACGUGAGUAACCUGCCCUUGACUUUGGGAUAACUUCAGGAAACUGGGGCUAAUACCGGAUAGGAGCUCCUGCUGCAUGGUGGGGGUUGGAAAGUUUCGGCGGUUGGGGAUGGACUCGGGGCUUAUCAGCUUGUUGGUGGGGUAGUGGCUUACCAAGGCUUUGACGGGUAGCCGGCCUGAGAGGGUGACCGGCCACAUUGGGACUGAGAUACGGCCCAGACUCCUACGGGAGGCAGCAGUGGGGAAUAUUGCACAAUGGGCGGAAGCCUGAUGCAGCAACGCCGCGUGCGUGAUGACGGCCUUCGGGUUGUAAACCACUUUCGCCUGUGACGAAGCGUGAGUGACGGUAAUGGGUAAAGAAGCACCGGCUAACUACGUG
rnacentral:rRNA from 1 species